AUUGAACGCUGGCGGCAUGCCUUACACAUGCAAGUCGAACGCGCCAUUGGGGCAACCUGAUGGUGAGUGGCGAACGGGUGAGUAAUGCAUCGGAACGUGUCCACGUCGUGGGGGAUAGCCCGGCGAAAGCCGGAUUAAUACCGCAUACGCCCGAGAGGGGAAAGUGGGGGACCGCAAGGCCUCACGCGAUUGGGUCGGCCGAUGUCCGAUUAGCUAGUUGGCGGGGUAAAGGCCCACCAAGGCGAUGAUCGGUAGCUGGUCUGAGAGGAUGAUCAGCCACACUGGGACUGAGACACGGCCCAGACUCCUACGGGAGGCAGCAGUGGGGAAUUUUGGACAAUGGGGGCAACCCUGAUCCAGCCAUUCCGCGUGAGUGAAGAAGGCCUUCGGGUUGUAAAGCUCUUUUGUCCGGAACGAAACGGUUGGUGUUAACAGCGCCGACUAAUGACGGUACUGUAAGAAUAAGCACCGGCUAACUACGUGCCAGCCGCCGCGGUAAGAC
rnacentral:rRNA from 1 species